rnacentral:rRNA from 1 species
CAGUAGCCACGGUAACACGGAGGGUGCAAGCGUUAAUCGGAAUUACUGGGCGUAAAGCGCACGCAGGCGGUCUGACAAGUCAGAUGUGAAAUCCCCGGGCUUAACCUGGGAACUGCAUUUGAAACUGUCAGGCUGGAGUCUUGUAGAGGGGGGUGGAAUUCCAGGUGUAGCGGUGAAAUGCGUAGAGAUCUGGAGGAAUACCGGUGGCGAAGGCGGCCCCCUGGACAAAGACUGACGCUCAGGUGCGAAAGCGUGGGGAGCAAACAGGAUUAGAUACCCGGGUAGUCCCUGUCUCUUAUAC